AUGACGUCUCUUCAGGAACUAAGAUUCAAAGUUCAAAAUGCUGACAGUUUUGAGAUAAGUCAACUUCAGUCCAUGGAUGAGCUUGUACAACUUGAAAUUUCUCAACUUGAAAAUGUGAAGACUAAAGAAGAGGCGAUGGGAGCCAGGCUGUUCGACAAAGAGUAUCUAGAAAUAUUGUCCUUGUCGUGGGAGGAUAACAGCACGAGCCUUCAACCAGAGGCAGCAAAGGACGUGCUUGAAGGUCUCCAACCACAUCAUGAUCUCAAAAGUCUAGAAAUAACAGGAUAUGGUGGUGCUACCUCCCCAACCUGGCUUUCCAGUACUCUCUCAGUCACCUCACUGCAGAUACUUCAUCUAGAGAACUGCAGGGAAUGGAAAAUUCUUCGAUCUAUUGAAAUGCCUUCCCUUAGGAAGCUAACAUUGAUCAGGAUGUUGAAUUUGAUGGGAAUCUCAGUUCCUUCCUUGGAAGAGUUGACCUUGAUUGAUAUGCCAAAAUUGGAAAAAUGUAUUGGUUCUUAUGGAAUGGAAUUGACUUCCAGUCUAAGUGUUUUGAUGAUGAAGAACUGCCCUCAACUGAAUGAGUUCACUCUUUUCCAGAGUUACUCUUCUUUCGAUGCACAGCAGAAGUCAUGGUUUACGUCUCUUGGUAAACUCUCCAUCGGGCAGUGUCCUCGUAUAAUGAACAACUGGCCAAUCCUCCCACUAAGAGAAAUGAGGGCGCUCAAGGAGUUGGAGUUGAUGGACCUGCAUGAUGUCAGAGAAUUAACAGUUCCUUCUCUGGAGAAGUUGUGUCACAUCCUCUUCCACCUUCUGGUCUAA
rnacentral:rRNA from 1 species